rnacentral:rRNA from 1 species
GACGAACGCUGACGGCGUGCUUAACACAUGCAAGUCGAACGGAAAGGCCCUGCUUUUGUGGGGUGCUCGAGUGGCGAACGGGUGGGUAACACGUGAGUAACCUGCCCUUGACUUUGGGAUAACUUCAGGAAACUGGGGCUAAUACCGGAUAGGAGCUCCUGCUGCAUGGUGGGGGUUGGAAAGUUUCGGCGGUUGGGGAUGGACUCGCGGCUUAUCAGCUUGUUGGUGGGGUAGUGGCUUACCAAGGCUUUGACGGGUAGCCGGCCUGAGAGGGUGACCGGCCACAUUGGGACUGAGAUACGGCCCAGACUCCUACGGGAGGCAGCAGUGGGGAAUAUUGCACAAUGGGCGGAAGCCUGAUGCAGCAACGCCGCGUGCGGGAUGACGGCCUUCGGGUUGUAAGCCGCUUUCGCCUGUGACGAAGCGUGAGUGACGGUAAUGGGUAAAGAAGCACCGGCUAACUACGUG